GAAAAAACUGUGAAGGGACCAAGACAUAUUUGACGUUUUUCAGAGAGCCGCUGUUUGGUGUGAUGCGGCAGCCAAGAAUAUGUGCAUAACUCAUCCCGGAGUUGUCUGCCUGUCACAGGGCAGAACGUGAAGGCUACGUUACAGGCCGGAGCUUUGUCGGAAGCUUGCUAAGGGCUGCAUUUGCAGCUGAAUUUGGGUGGUACCACGAAAGAUAUCGCUUUCGUCCCAUUG
rnacentral:ncRNA from 1 species